UACGGGGGGAGCAAGCGUUGUUCGGAUUUACUGGGCGUAAAGGGCGCGUAGGCGGUCGUGACAAGUCACUUGUGAAAUCUCCGGGCUUAACUCGGAACGGUCAAGUGAUACUGUCGGACUAGAGUACAGAAGGGGCAACUGGAAUUCUCGGUGUAGCGGUGAAAUGCGUAGAUAUCGAGAGGAACACCGAUGGCGAAGGCAAUCCCCUGGACCUGUACUGACGCUCAUGCACGAAAGCGUGGGGAGCAAACAGG
rnacentral:rRNA from 1 species